rnacentral:rRNA from 1 species
GACGAACGCUGGCGGCGUGCUUAACACAUGCAAGUCGAACGAAGUGGCGAACGGGUGAGUAACGCGUAAUCAACCUGCCCUUCAGAGGGGGACAACAGUUGGAAACGACUGCUAAUACCGCAUACUGAAGGAGGGGAUUGCGUCUGAAUAGCUAGUUGGAGGGGUAACGGCCCACCAAGGCGAUGAUAAGUAGGCGGGUCGAGAGGAAGAACGGGCACAAUGGGACCGGGGAACGGCCCAGACCCCUACGGGAGGCAGCAGUGGGGAAAUUUCCGACAUGGGCGAAAGUCUGACGGCGCAACGGCGCGUGAUUUAUGACGGCCGUCGGGGUGGAAAGCUCUGUUAAUCGGGAAGCGUUACCGGCAGAGAAAGCCACGGCUAACUCCGUGCCAGCAGCCGCGGUAAUAC